rnacentral:rRNA from 1 species
GACGAACGCUGGCGGCAUGCCUAAUACAUGCAAGUCGAGCGAACAGAUGAGGUGCUUGCACUUCUGACGUUAGCGGCGAACGGGUGAGUAACACGUAAGGAAUCUACCUAUAAGCGGGGGAUAACAUUCGGAAACGGGUGCUAAUACCGCAUAAUAUCUUCUUCCGCAUGGAAGAAGAUUGAAAGACGGCUCUGCUGUCACUUAUAGAUGACCUUGCGGUGCAUUAGUUAGUUGGUGGGGUAAUGGCCUACCAAGACGAUGAUGCAUAGCCGAACUGAGAGGGUGGUCGGCCACAUUGGGACUGAGACACGGCCCAAACUCCUACGGGAGGCAGCAGUAGGGAAUCUUCCGCAAUGGGCGAAAGCCUGACGGAGCAAUGCCGCGUGAGUGAAGAAGGCCUUCGGGUCGUAAAACUCUGUUAUAAGAGAAGAACAAAUUGUAGAGUAACUGCUACAGUCUUGACGGUAUCUUAUCAGAAAGCCACGGCUAACUACGUGCCAGCCGCCGCGGUAA